GCUGACAUGGACAUAUUCACUGGAGAGGCCAUCGAUGUUGUCAUCGGAUCCUCAAGAGAUGACGGAAAGGUGUAUGCUGGAUCCGGGCAAUGAAUAGAAAAGGCUGCUUGGGGGACAUUGUUGCGGUCUACGUCUAUGUUCUGCCGUAUGGCGUCCACAACGUAUUGGAUGCCAGAUGAGCUUAAGAACAGAAGCGUGACCGGGACUUUGUCCAACAAGUCGCGAUCCAAGGGAAGGACUGAGGCCAGACCAGCCGUGACACCACAAAAGUUGUCAUCCUUGAAAAGCCUCCUCCGGAUCUUCAUAGGCAACCGUGUCAUGCCGGAAGACGAGAAAAAAAAAGAUUGAAAGAAGUGCGCAGGCAAUUGGUGCAGAAACUCGCUGACGCGCCAAGAAGGUAGUGCUACUGGUACUGAUUGCUACGGGGCUUGUCCCAAAAGUUUGUGCACUGAGCCAGCAAAAACGCGGCAGAGAAUGUAGUGACAUGAACUGCUCAAACUUCUGGGACAGACUUUGUAUAUUUACCUUACCAGCUUAGCAC